UCAAGCUAAAAAGGGCGCAAGGGGGAUGCCUUGGCAUUGGUAGCCGAUGAAGGACGUAGCGAUCUACGAUAAGCCACGGGAAGUCGAAAGCAGGCAAUGAUCCGUGGAUUUCCGAAUGGGGAAACCCGGCAGAGCAAUACUCUGUCAACUCCUUGUGAAUAAAAUAGCAUUGAGUAGGGAACCUCCUGAACUGAAACAUCUAAGUAGGGAGAGGAAAAGAAAUCAACCGAGAUUCCGCUAGUAGUGGCGAGCGAACGCGGAAGAGGCCAAACCAAGAGUAGUAAUACUUUUGGGGUUCGGACUGAGUACGGUAUUGACAAGAGUUAGUAGAAUGGAAUGGGAAGUUCAACCAUAGAGUGUGAGAGUCACGUAUACGAAAACUUAAGUCAGCCAUCAGUAUCCAGAGUACCGCCGGACACGUGAAACCCGGUGGGAAUACGGGGGGACCACCCUCCAAGCCUAAAUACUCACCAAUGACCGAUAGUGUAUAGUACUGUGAAGGAAAGGUGAAAAGAACCCCUGGCGGGGAGUGAAAAAGAACCUGAAACCUUGUGCCUACAAGCACAUAGAGCACGUCAACGUGUGAUAUGGUACCUUUUGUAGAAUGGUCCGGCGAGUGAAUGUCACUAGCGAGGUUAAGAACUUAAGGUUUGCAGCCGAAGCGAAAGCGAGUCUUAAUAGGGCGAGUUUAGUUAGUGGUAUUCGACCCGAAACCGAGUGACCUAUCCAUGAGCAGGCUGAAGUGGAGGUAAAACUCCAUGGAGGGCCGAACCCACUCCCGUUGAAAUGGUAGGGGAUGACUUGUGGCUAGCGGAGAAAUUCCAAUCGAACUCGGAGAUAGCUGGUUCUCUCCGAAAUAGCUUUAGGGCUAGCCUCAAUUAACAUUACCGCAGGUAAAGCACUGAAUGGGCUAGGGGGCGAAAGCUUACUGAACCCUAUCAAACUCAGAAUGGCGGAUAAUGAAUAAUUGGGAGUCACACUACGUGAGAUAAGUUUCGUGGUGGAAAGGGAAACAGCCCAGACCCACAGCUAAGGUCCCAAAGUACAGUUAAGUGGAAAAGGAUGUGAAGUUGCGCAGACAACCAGGAUGUUGGCUCAGAAGCAGCCACUCAUUCAAAGAGUGCGUAAUAGCUCACUGGUCGAGUGAUUUUGCGCCGAAAAUUUAACGGGGCUAAACUGUACACCGAAGCUUGGGAAUAUACCUUAUGGUAUGUUGGUAGGAGAGCGUCGUAUGCGGGGUGAAGUCGUAGCGAAAGCGGCGGUGGACUGCAUAGGAGUGAGAAUGCCGGAAUGAGUAGCGAGAAUUAUGUGAGAAUCAUAAUGGCCGAAAGACUAAGGUUUUAGAAGGAAGGUUCGUCCGCUUCUAGUUAGCCGGGAGCUAAGGCGAGGCCGAAAGGCGUAGUCGAUGCACAUACGGUUGAGAUUCCGUAGCCACCUUAAAUUUAAACUAAGGGACACAUUGAAAGGGAAUAACCCAGGCGUUGGUUGACCUGGGCGUAAGGGAACGAAAAUAAGUAGUGAAGUAUUCUUGGACAGUGGCGAGAAAAGCUUAGUGUAUAUUAUUAGGGUGCCCGUACUGCAAACCGACACAGGUAGUCAGGAAGAGAAUUCUAAGGCCAUCGGGAGAAGCGUUGUUAAGGAACUCGGCAAAUUGACCCCGUAACUUCGGAAUAAGGGGUGCUCACGAGAGUGAGCCGCAGUGAAUAGGUCCAGGCAACUGUUUAUCAAAAACACAGCUCUCUGCUAAAUCGUAAGAUGACGUAUAGGGGGUGACACCUGCCCGGUGCUGGAAGGUUAAGAGGAGGAGUGCAAGCCCCGAAUCGAAGCCCCAGUAAACGGCGGCCGUAACUAUAACGGUCCUAAGGUAGCGAAAUUCCUUGUCGGGUAAGUUCCG
rnacentral:rRNA from 1 species